GACGAACGCUGGCGGCGUGCUUAACACAUGCAAGUCGAACGGAAAGGCCCUGCUUUUGUGGGGUGCUCGAGUGGCGAACGGGUGAGUAACACGUGAGUAACCUGCCCUUGACUUUGGGAUAACUUCAGGAAACUGGGGCUAAUACCGGAUAGGAGCUCCUGCUGCAUGGUGGGGGUUGGAAAGUUUCGGCGGUUGGGGAUGGACUCGCGGCUUAUCAGCUUGUUGGUGGGGUAGUGGCUUACCAAGGCUUUGACGGGUAGCCGGCCUGAGAGGGUGACCGGCCACAUUGGGACUGAGAUACGGCCCAGACUCCUACGGGAGGCAGCAGUGGGGAAUAUUGCACAAUGGGCGGAAGCCUGAUGCAGCAACGCCGCGUGCGGGAUGACGGCCUUCGGGUUGUAAACCGCUUUCGCCUGUGACGAAGCGUGAGUGACGGUAAUGGGUAAAGAAGCACCGGCUAACUACGUGCCAGCAGCCGCGGUGAUACGUAGGGUGCGAGCGUUGUCCGGAUUUAUUGGGCGUAAAGGGCUCGUAGGUGGUUGAUCGCGUCGGAAGUGUAAUCUUGGGGCUUAGCCCUGAGCGUGCUUUCGAUACGGGUUGACUUGAGGAAGGUAGGGGAGAAUGGAAUUCCUGGUGGAGCGGUGGAAUGCGCAGAUAUCAGGAGGAACACCAGUGGCGAAGGCGGUUCUCUGGGCCUUUCCUGACGCUGAGGAGCGAAAGCGUGGGGAGCGAACAGGCUUAGAUACCCUGGUAGUCCACGCUGUAAACGGUGGGUACUAGGUGUGGGGUCCAUUCCACGGGUUCCGUGCCGUAGCUAACGCUUUAAGUACCCCGCCUGGGGAGUACGGCCGCAAGGCUAAAACUCAAAGGAAUUGGCGGGGCCCCGCACAAGCGGCGGAGCAUGCGGAUUAAUUCGAUGCAACGCGUAGAACCUUACCUGGGUUUGACAUGGAUCGGGAGUGCUCAGAGAUGGGUGUGCCUCUUUUGGGGUCGGUUCACAGGUGGUGCAUGGCUGUCGUCAGCUCGUGUCGUGAGAUGUUGGGUUAAGUCCCGCAACGAGCGCAACCCUUGUUCACUGUUGCCAGCACGUUAUGGUGGGGACUCAGUGGAGACCGCCGGGGUCAACUCGGAGGAAGGUGGGGAUGACGUCAAGUCAUCAUGCCCCUUAUGUCCAGGGCUUCACGCAUGCUACAAUGGCUGGUACAGAGAGUGGCGAGCCUGUGAGGGUGAGCGAAUCUCGGAAAGCCGGUCUCAGUUCGGAUUGGGGUCUGCAACUCGACCUCAUGAAGUCGGAGUCGCUAGUAAUCGCAGAUCAGCAACGCUGCGGUGAAUACGUUCCCGGG
rnacentral:rRNA from 1 species